rnacentral:rRNA from 1 species
UACGGGGGGGGCAAGCGUUGUUCGGAAUUACUGGGCGUAAAGGGCUGGUAGGCGGCCAACUAAGUCGGAUGUGAAAUCCCCAGGCUUAACCUGGGAACUGCAUCCGAUACUGGUCGGCUUGAAUCCGGGAGAGGGAUGCAGAAUUCCUGGUGUAGCGGUGAAAUGCGCAGAUAUCAGGAAGAACACCCGUGGCGAAGGCGGCUCUCUGGGACGGUACUGACGCUGAGACGCGAAAGCGUGGGGAGCGAACAGG